CAGCACUCCGUCGGCGGCGGCGGCGGCGCGAUGCUGUGCUUCCUGAGGGGAAUGGCUUUCGUCCCCUUCCUCUUGGUGACCUGGUCGUCAGCCGCCUUCAUUAUCUCCUACGUGGUCGCCGUGCUCUCCGGGCACGUCAACCCCUUCCUCCCGUAUAUCAGAUGAAGCCUCACUCUGUCGGCCAGGCUGGAGUGCAGUGGCACGAUCUUGGCUCACUGUAACCUCUGCCUCCUGGGUUCAAGCGAUUCUCCUGCCUCAGCCACCCGAGUAGCUGGG
rnacentral:lncRNA from 1 species